rnacentral:rRNA from 1 species
UACGGAGGAUGCAAGCGUUAUCCGGAAUGAUUGGGCGUAAAGCGUCCGUAGGCGGUUAUGUAAGUCUGUGGUUAAAGCGUGGGGCUCAACCCCAUAAAGGCCAUGGAAACUACAAGACUUGAGUGAAGUAGGGGUAGAGGGAAUUCCCAGUGUAGCGGUGAAAUGCGUAGAGAUUGGGAAGAACACCGGUGGCGAAGGCGCUCUACUGGACUUAAACUGACACUGAGGGACGAAAGCUAGGGGAGCGAAAGGG